GUGCUCGCUUUGGCAGCACAUAUAUUAAAAUUGGAACGAUACAGAGAAGAUUAGCAUGGCCCCUGCACAAGAUGACACACAAAUUCAUGAAGCGUUCCACAUUUUU